GACAGAGGCCUCGAGCGUUAGGCGGAAUCACUGGGCUUAAAGCGUGUGUAGGCGGAUCGUUAAGUACCUUGUGAAAUCCCACGGUUCAACCGUGGAACGGCUGGGUAUACUGGCGGUCUUGGGCCAUUCAGGGGCGACUGGAACAAGCGGUGGAGCGGUGAAAUGCGUAGAUAUCGCUUGGAACGCCGAAGGUGAAAACAGGUCGCUGGGGAUGUGCCGACGCUGAGACACGAAAGCCAGGGGAGCAAACGGG
rnacentral:rRNA from 1 species